rnacentral:rRNA from 1 species
AUGUCGCUGCGGAGGAGCAGAGGAGGACGGCGGGGGAGAGAAGGAGCAAAGGAGGACGACACUCGGGGAAGGAGCAGCGAGGCCGGAGGCCGAGACGGCGCUCGCAUCAUGUGUCGGACGCUGCUCGUCGGCCCUCGGUGCCGUCCUCAAUCUAGCAUGAUGUGUGAAGAUCUGAGACGGAAAAGAAGAGGAAUAAUUUUGACGAAGAGUUGGGUCAUGGGGAACAAGGUCAGCAGAACAUACAUAACUGUUGCUGAAGCCCUCUUGCUAAAGGAGGAUAUAACCAACAUAAACACAAUGCUUACAAGGAGAUAUCGGCUCAUUUGA